rnacentral:rRNA from 1 species
CCUACGGGUGGCAGCAGUGGGGAAUAUUGGACAAUGGGGGGAACCCUGAUCCAGCCAUGCCGCGUGUGUGAAGAAGGCCCUCGGGUUGUAAAGCACUUUCAGUGAGGAAGAACGCCUGGUGGUUAAUACCCAUCAGGAAAGACAUCACUCACAGAAGAAGCACCGGCUAACUCCGUGCCAGCAGCCGCGGUAAUACGGAGGGUGCGAGCGUUAAUCGGAAUUACUGGGCGUAAAGCGCGCGUAGGUGGCUUGAUAAGCCGGUUGUGAAAGCCCCGGGCUCAACCUGGGAACGGCAUCUGGAACUGUCAAGCUAGAGUGCAGGAGAGGAAGGUAGAAUUCCCGGUGUAGCGGUGAAAUGCGUAGAGAUCGGGAGGAAUACCAGUGGCGAAGGCGGCCUUCUGGACUGACACUGACACUGAGGUGCGAAAGCGUGGGUAGCAAACAGGAUUAGAUACCCCAGUAGUC